CAAAAUUUCAUCUUGAAUUGUAAUCCCCAUAAUCACCAUAAUCCCCAAAUGUCAAGGAAGAGACAAGGGGGAGGCAACUGAAUCAUGGAGGCGGCUUCCUCCAAGCUGUUCUCAUGAUAGUGAGUCAGUUUUCACGAGAUGUGAUGGUUUUAUAAGUGUUUGAUAGUUCCACCUGUGUUCAUUCUCCUUCCUGACACCCUGUGAAGAAGGUGCCUUGCUUCCCCUUUGCCUUCCACCACAAUGCUAAGUUUCUUGAGGCCUCCCGAGACAUGCUGAACUGUGAGUCAGUCAACUAAGCCUCUUUCCUUUAUAAAUUACCCAGUUUCAGGCAAUUCUUUAUAGCAAUGUGAAAAUGGACUAAUAUACAACUGAAGUCAUUUGGUAAAAUAAGCUUCAAGAUUCCUCUUUUCAUCUCUCACUGAAGGAACCACCUCCUGCUUUCGGCACUCAGAAUGAAAUAUACCCCUUUUCAUAAGAAAAUCUACAAAGAGUAUUUAUAAGAAAUUGGUGCAUGGCUGUGCUUCAACUCCUCAGUGCAUGAUAUGAAAGAAAAUCAGAUGAGGUUGCAAGAAAUAAAUUUUGUGUUAGACAUCAGAGACCAUUUCUUGACAGGAAAAGUUGUUUGUGAUGUGUGCAGCAUGAUUGACAACUCAUAUUAAACUGUAUAUGGAAGCACAAACAUUGAAGAAUAGCCAAACAUUCUUGAAGAAAAGAAACAAAUGGAGAGAACUUGUCCUUCAAAUAUCAUUUACUAUAAUAAAGCUGUAGUAAUUAAGAAGGCAUGGUUUUGGCACAGGGAUAAGCACUCAAACCAAUGAGAGAAAAUGGAAUUCUAAAAUAUGAAAAUUAUUCAAACGGGGCUGGCAUUCCUGAUUGAUGGAAAGCACAGACUAGUCAAUUAAUGCAAUAGUUGGUCAUUCAUAUGAGGAAAAAAUGAAAUUAGGUUAGCUUAUACCAUACAAAAUUCAAUCACAAAUGGAUUAAAAACCUAUAAACAAACAAAAAACUCUAUUAAAUAUUUAGAAGACACUAUGUGAGAAUAUUUUUAAAACUUGAGAUAAAUGAUUCCUUAAGGUACAAAACAGCAAAAAAUGACAACCUUUAUUAUAUAAAAAUUAAUUUGUGUUUUCCAGAAUCACAAAAAAGAAAAAAAGCAAGGUAAAAAUAGAGAAAAGAUAUUAGCAACAAAAAUUAGAUAAAAUACUAGUAUUUGGAGUAUCAAAUGGAUUCUGAGAAUCAAAGAGAAAAAAAUCAGUUUAAUAUAAUGAUAGAUAAGAGGAAUAAAUAGGAAUUUCAUAUGAGAGGAAGCACAAAUCUCAUAUAAACAUGUGAACAAGCCUUUAACAUCAUUAGUAGCCAGGGAAAAACAAGACCACACCCCAAAAAUUAAGAACAUAGACCAUUUCAUUCUCAUAAGAUGGUCAAUAGUCAAAAUUGUGCCAAAUAUAGAGCAAGGGAAGCUCCAGUCUCCUACUGGUGGGAGAGUAAAUUGAUACAAUCAUUUUGGAAAACAGUUUGACAUUACCUGCUACAGCUGAAAACAAACAUGUUCUAUAAACCAGGAAUUCUACCGUUAGAUAUUUAAUCCAUAAAAACUCAAAAGACAAAUGCACAAAGUUUACAGUUUUGUUUGUUUAAACAAAAAGAAAAAAAGGAAAACUGAAGCAAGUCAAAUGUUCUUCAGAAGUAGAAAGAACAUUUAAAUUGAAACAAAAUUUCACAAUGAACUGUGAUAGGGCAUUGAGUGAAUUACUACAGAGGAGGGGUGGGUAAACCAAAACCUACAGAGCAGUCAAAUGUUUUUAUAAAUAAAGUUUUAUUGGAGCACAAUCACAUCAAUUUGUUUAUGUAUUGUGUAUGGCUGCUUUCGUACUAUAAUAGAGUUGAGUAGGUGCAACAGAGACCGCAUGGCCUGCGAAGACUAAAAUAAUUACUAACUAGUCCUUUACAGAAAAAGUUUGCUGACUCAUAUUAAAGAUAAUUAAAAGGACUAAUAACAUUUUUUCAAAUCAACAUGAAUGAAUCUCAGAGUUAUUAUGAUUAUAUUGAAUAAUG
rnacentral:lncRNA from 1 species